rnacentral:misc_RNA from 1 species
UGAAAAAUUAAUGAAAUUUGGGGCUACUGAGUUCAAGGGCACUGUGGACCCACUAGAAGCAGAACAGUGGCUAGAACGGAUGGAAAGGGUAUUCAGAAAGCUGCAAUGUGCUGAGGAAUUAAAAUUUGAAUACUUAGUAUCUCUUCUGCAAGGGGAUGCGUAUGAAUGGUGGAAGACAAUCCCCCACAGUCUGGUUGAGCCACCUGUUCUUACAUGGGCAUAUUUCUUGAGGGAGUUCAGACAGAAAUGGGUCCUCGAUACCUAUGUUGACAUGAAAGUGCAAGAAUUUUUGAAUCUGAAGCAAGGGGACAAGACCAUAGCAGAAUAUGAACGAGAUUUUUCAAGGCUAAGCCACUAUACUAGAAGCUUGGUCUCUACCCACAGAGACAGAUGUAAGAGGUUUGA